CCAGAGCGGCCUACAUGCCGGGCACAGUCCCGUUGGUCUCCAUGUCGGUGAGGUUGCCCCGCAGGUCCUGCUCCUCCUCGAAGGCCUUGAACAGUGAGUUGAAGUUGCCGGCUCCAAAACCCUGGAGCGGGAGAAAGGAGCCAAGGCCCCCGGGGCCCGAGGGAGGCCCCACCUGGAUCUGGGACUUCUUCCUGCCCGGCGCUGGCUCGUUAAUGGGCAUUUUGAUGGACUCCUCGUAAUUGGCCACCACGAUGGACCGCAGAGAGCUGUACUCCGUGUGCACCUGCGUGUCAUCCACGGACCAGAAACGGUGGAACUGCAGGUUCUUCAGAUGAGAACAUUGAGGCACAGAGAAUUUAAGUCACUCACCUGAAGUCACACAGCUAAUAAGAUAGAGACCCAGCAGUCUGCCUCUGGAAUCUACACUCUGAACAUCUAAACUGCCUCUUGAAUACAGCGUUUGGUACAGUCAGGCCCAAGAAAUGAUAAUUGUGACCUCGUUUCCUCUUUGUAACAACUCAGUGAGGUGGCCUUGGCCCUGAGCUCCUUUCUGAAGACCUUGCUGAGCACUCAGUACCUGCCUUCGGGUGGCCUGCGUGGCCUCCCGGGAUGGUUGACCAGCCUUUGAUGCCUGGGUGGCUGUGGAGUUGCCGGCAGUGUGAGAUAGCAGCUUAACUACAGCCGAACCUGUUGUGAGGUGAGGAAACUGAGACUCAAUAAGAUGAAGACUUGCCCAAAUAAUAAAUUGUCGGGACUUGCCUGCUAGCUCAGUGGUUAAGAAUCUGCCUCCCAAUGCAGGGGACAUGGGUUCGAGCCCUGGUCCGGGAACGUCCCACAUGCCGCAGAGCAACUAAGCCUGUGCACCACAGUUACUGAGCCUGCGCUCUAGAGCCCUCGAGCCACAACUACUGAGCCCGCGUGCUGCAACUACUGAAGUCCACACGCCUAGAACCCGUGCUCCGCAACAAGAGAAGCCACCACAGUGAAAAGCCUGCGCACCGCAAUGAAGAGUAGCCCCCGCUCGCCACAACCAGAGAAAGCCCACGGGCAGCAGUGAAGACCCAACACAGCCAAAAAAAAAAAAAAAAGCCCGUGCACUGCAACGAAGACUCGCCCCUGCUUGCUGCAACUAGAGAAAGCCUGCACGCACCCAAUGCAGCCAAAAAUAAAUGAAAAAUUAAUUAAUUAAACAAAAACCAGGCUGUGAGCAAAAAACCAAAAUAACAGACAAGCAUCCGUAUUUGGACAGAGAGCCAAUAGUUUGCUCACCCCUGCCCUAGACAGUCAAUACAACAAUUAAGCAUUAGUUUGUAGCAGUUGCUGAAUUCUGUGGUAUAAGUACCCCUAUGGCCAGUUUCAAACUACCAACGUAAGGCAGUUUGAACUUGGAGUUGAGAACAGUAUAAGUAGUAACAUAUCACACAGAAAAAUAGGCAAAAGCCUAGGUAGUACUAAAAUGUAGUGAAAUAAUUAGGAAAUGAUGAGAUUUGAGCAUUUAUUACCUUUGUUUUCAUGAUAGUUUAUUUAGAUGUAAGUUUAUAUUAAUUUUUUUCUGCUUUUUAAUGUAAUUUUUAAUAUACGUAAUUUAAUUUUAAGUAAUCUGGUAUUUAAAAAAAUUUUUUUACAAACUUCCUGAAGAAUUCACAGUGGGCUCUCCUGAGCCUGUAGGAACUGCUCUGCUCUGCUUGCCUGAGGUUUAGGGGGCGGGAGGCCCCCAUGACUGGGGAAAGGGCAGAGGACAUCAGUGGCCCUGGAGGAGGAGCAACUGCUAUGACAUCAGGGCCCAGGGCACAUCAAAGGGUUUUCUCUUUCCUCUCUGGCCAAACAACUAUCUCGUCAGUUGCUCCAUUAUUUGCAUAAGCCCAGGGUGCAGUUACUCAAGAUCAGCCAUUGAUCCCUUUCGAACUGAACCUGUGUCCCUACCAUCCAAAGUCCCUAAACUUUUGAACAUCUGACACCCUUCAGUUCAGAACACUGACUUUCAUUCUUCACAAGGGCAAUAGGGGAGUUAGCUUUGGCCUCCGAUUUGCUGUGUUGCCUUCAACAUAUUGCUUAACCUCUCUGAACUCCCUUUUUCCAUUUCUGAAUAUUAGGGAGCGCUCUUAUGAGUCUUUGGUACCUACAGGAAUAGAAGUGACCAUGUGUCCAAUGCUUUGCAUUUAAUAUAACAGCCCUAUGAAGUAGGUGUUAUUAUUAUACCCAUUUUACAGUUAAGGAAACUGAGGCUUGGAGAAGCUAAGUGGCUCAUACUAUAAGUGGUAGAGUUGGGAUUCAUUCCCUCUACUCCCAGUCCAAGUUUCUCAUUUUUUUCUGGUGUGUCUCCCUGCAUCUGGAGAUCUUCAAGAUUUUUACAGAUGAAAGGGGUCUGAGGGCUUCCGUGGUGGCACGGUGGUUAAGAAUCUGCCCCCCAAUGCAGGUGACACGGGUUUAAGCCCUGGUCCGGGAAGAUCCCACAUGCCACGGAGCAACUAAGCCCGUGCGCCACAACUACUGAGCCUGCGCUCUAGAGCCUGCCUGCCACAACUACUGAAGCCCCCAUGCUCCGGAACAAGAGAAGCCACUGCAAUGAGAAGCCCACGCACUGCAACAAAGAGUAGACCCUGCUCACGACAACUAAAGAAAGCCCGCAAACAACCUAAAUGCCCAUCAACAGACAAAUGGGUAAAGAAGAUAUGGUACAUAUAUACAAUGGAAUAUUACUCAGCCAUAAAAAGGAAUGAAAUUGGGUCAUUUGUAGAAACAUGGAUGGAUCUAGAGACUCAUACAGAGUGAAGUAAGUCAGAAAGAGAAAAACAAAUAUCGUAUAUUAAUGCAUAUAUGUGGAACCUAGGAAAAUGGUACAGGUGAACCGGUUUGCAGGGCAGAAAUGGAGACACAGAUGUAGAGAACAAACGUAUGGACACCAAGGGGGGAAAGCAGCGGUGGUGGUGGUGGUGGUGGUGGGAUGAAUUGGGAGAUUGGCAUUGACAUAUGUACAUGAAUAUGUAUAAAAUAGAUAACUGAUAAGAACCUGCUGUAUAAAAAAUAAAAUAAAAUUAAAAGCCCACGCACAGCAACGAAGAACCAAUGCAGCCAAAAAUAAAUAAAUAUAUAUUUUUAAAAAAGGCGGGGGGGUUCUGAGUAGUCAUUAGUCCUGGGUCUUGAAACUCAAAUGCCCCAGAAGCCAGGAGAGUGACGUAGAAGAGAGAAGAGCUGGGUGGAACUGUGGAGUCGUAGGCUCACGCCUUGUCGACAAGAGUGAUGAUUACUCAGCUACAACCAGUUAUCCCCUGUGGGGAUGUGGGCUAGUUUGGCCAGAUUUUGUUCAAGAGAAGCUGGAAAUUUGAAUUUUUAUGUGAAAUCCAUUGAUUUAAAAAUUGUUCUGUUUUGGGGAAUUCCCUGGCUGUCCAGUGGUUAGGACACCGCACUCUCACUACCAAGGGCCUGGGUUCAGUCCUUGGUUGGGGAACUAAGAUCCCACAAGCCUCGCGGUGUGCCCCCCCCCGAAAAAUUGUUUUAAUUCCAUUAAUAGGAAAUACCCAGAAUAGGGAAAUCCAUAGAGACAGAAUGCAGAUUGGUGGGUGCCAGGGGCUGGGGGGAGGGAGGACUGGGGAGUCACUUUUAAUGGGUAUGGGGUUUUCCUUUUGGGGUGAUGAGAAUGUCUUGGAACUAGAUAGAGGUGGUGGUUACACGACGUUGUGAAUGUACGAAAUGAAUUGUUCACUUAAAAUGGUUAAUUUUAUGUCAUGUGGCUUUCAUCUCAAUAAAAAAAAUUGUAUUCUAACAUUUUUCUUUCUUUUCUUUUUUCUUUUUUUUUUUUUUGCGGUACGCGGGCCUCUCACUGCUGUGGCCUCUCCCGUUGCGGAGCACAGGCUCCAGACGCGCAGGCUCGGCGGCCAUGGCUCACAGGCCCAGCCGCUCCGCGGCAUGUGGGAUCUUCCCGGACCGGGGCACGAACCCGUGUCCCCUGCAUCGGCAGGCGGACUCUCAACCACUGCGCCACCAGGGAAGCCCCUAACAUUUUUUAUGAGUGUGUUUUUUGAUAUUGAUAGAAAGUAUUUUUAUCAAAGAUUAAUAAUACACAGAAAAAUGCAAAAAGUAUAUGGCUUUCUGAAUUUUCACAAACUGACCACACCUAUUUAACCAGCUCAGAUAUAUAUUUUAUUUUGUUUUUUGUAACAGAAUUAAUGCAAGUUGAUAUAGAAAAACAUACACAUAAUUAAAAGUGAAAAAAAAGAGAAAAAAGGAAAAAGAAAGUACAGAAAACUAACCCAUUCAUAAUCCUUCAACCACAGAAAACCACCAUGGACAAUUCGGGCAUAUCCACCCAGACCACUUUCUAAAAAUGUAUAAACAUAUGAUACU